AUUCAAUAUGAGGGAUAGAGCCUGGGAAGCUUGGAAGGCUGUUGAAGGGAGGAAGCCAAAGGAGGAGGCUAUGAGUGACUACCUCACCAAGGUUAAACGGCUGCUCGAGGCAGCUGCUACUACUGCUUAUGCUACUUUGUCACAUCUUGCUCUAUGUAGUACCAUGGUGUCCUCGAUAUCGAAGUAAAGAUCAUGCUGGACUAGGAUCCUAAAAGAAAGCAGGGCACCAUGACUCCUUUGCCAGAUCAUGUUACAAUUCAUGCCCCAAAGGAGGAAGAGGAGUUACACUCCAGAAGAAUUUGAAUGCUACAACCUUUACAAAAGGAAUUAGGAUUACAUUUCUUCUUCAUAAGCUUCUGGCAUGUAACAAGAAAAAGUUCUUCUGAUUUAUGCGCUUGAACUAGUCGUAGAUUAACAUGAAGGAAGAUUGGGAGUCCUUAGGCCCAUAUCUUAGUUUGUUCCAAUCUUCUCAUGAGUGUUAUUUGUUCUUAUCAUUUGUUUUGAAAACCGACGUGGUUACUCCCACAAAUUUUUAUUGUUUUGUAGACUUGAUAUUAGUUUUUUGAAUUCGUAUGUAACUUCCAAUGCUGGAAUAGUAGACUCAGAUUGGUUGUUUAAAUUCAUUCAAAAUUCUGAAUA